GCGAUGAGCUGAAUUGUGUAAGUCGAAGGACUCGCUCUUUGAGCAAGGCAUGAAUGUGGUCAUGCUGUCCCUCGCCUCAAUACGCAGGAGGGUACCUUUAUAGGUACCUUC
rnacentral:sRNA from 1 species